GAGUAAUGUCUGGGAAACUGCCUGAUGGAGGGGGAUAACUACUGGAAACGGUGGCUAAUACCGCAUAACGUCGCAAGACCAAAGAGGGGGACCUUCGGGCCUCUUGCCAUCAGAUGUGCCCAGAUGGGAUUAGCUUGUUGGUGAGGUAACGGCUCACCAAGGCGACGAUCCCUAGCUGGUCUGAGAGGAUGACCAGCCACACUGGAACUGAGACACGGUCCAGACUCCUACGGGAGGCAGCAGUGGGGAAUAUUGCACAAUGGGCGCAAGCCUGAUGCAGCCAUGCCGCGUGUAUGAAGAAGGCCUUCGGGUUGUAAAGUACUUUCAGCGGGGAGGAAGGUGUUGUGGUUAAUAACCGCAGCAAUUGACGUUACCCGCAGAAGAAGCACCGGCUAACUCCGUGCCAGCAGCCGCGGUAAUACGGAGGGUGCAAGCGUUAAUCGGAAUUACUGGGCGUAAAGCGCACGCAGGCGGUCUGUCAAGUCGGAUGUGAAAUCCCCGGGCUCAACCUGGGAACUGCAUUCGAAACUGGCAGGCUUGAGUCUUGUAGAGGGGGGUAGAAUUCCAGGUGUAGCGGUGAAAUGCGUAGAGAUCUGGAGGAAUACCGGUGGCGAAGGCGGCCCCCUGGACAAAGACUGACGCUCAGGUGCGAAAGCGUGGGGAGCAAACAGGAUUAGAUACCCUGGUAGUCCACGCCGUAAACGAUGUCUACUUGGAGGUUGUGCCCUUGAGGCGUGGCUUCCGGAGCUAACGCGUUAAGUAGACCGCCUGGGGAGUACGGCCGCAAGGUUAAAACUCAAAUGAAUUGACGGGGGCCCGCACAAGCGGUGGAGCAUGUGGUUUAAUUCGAUGCAACGCGAAGAACCUUACCUGGUCUUGACAUCCACGGAAGUUUUCAGAGAUGAGAAUGUGCCUUCGGGAACCGUGAGACAGGUGCUGCAUGGCUGUCGUCAGCUCGUGUUGUGAAAUGUUGGGUUAAGUCCCGCAACGAGCGCAACCCUUAUCCUUUGUUG
rnacentral:rRNA from 1 species